UUGAGAGUGAGACAUAAUGUAGAAAGAAAUCUGUAAAUAUAUAAAACCAAACUGCACAUAUAUCAAAACUGCACAUAUAUAAUCAAAACUGCACAUAUAAAAAUCAAAACUGCACAUGUAUAAAAUAAAUCAAAACUGCACAUGUAUAAAUCAAAACUGCACAUAUAAGUAUAACAAGGAACUUGAGGACAUGAAUUUGAAAUUACCUUCUCGUUUAAGGAAUUGAGAAAUCAACCAACUAAUCCCAGAAUAGUUAGCUCAGUCUUGCUCCUCAAAGAAUGUAUGCUCGAUCUAUAUAAAACCAAACUGCACAUAUAUCAAAACUGCACAUAUAUAAAUCAAAACUGCACAUGUAUAAAUCAAAACUGCACAUAUAUAAAAACUGCACAUAUAAGUAAAACAAAACACACACACACACACACACACACAGAACAUACACACACACACGCACAUACACACAUACACACACAGAACAUACACACAGAACACACAUACACACACAGAACACACAUACACAUACACACACAGAACAUACACACAUACACACAUACACACACAGAACAUACACACAUACACACAUACACACACAGAACAUACACACAUACACACACACACACGCACACAGAAGCAGAACACAGAACACACACACGCAUGCACACACAGACAUUUAACUAAUAAUUGCUAAUGCUCAAGCUUGACUGUAAUAAGUAACGGUAUAACUAUAUGCAUUUAACUUUUCAUACUCGUGGAAACAGAUAUGAAAAAAAACUAGCCUUAAGCACUAGAGGUUAAAAUACUAACAAAUAACCACAAUUCCUGCAUCUAAAAUAUCCUAGCAUCACUGAUUAGAUAGCAGGUUCAAAUAAAAUGAGGAAGCUUUAAGAGAAACAUAUCAAUAACCAUAGAUUGGAGCUAGAACUCUUUAUUAUACUAAAAAUAGAGAAACCAGAUCAUCUUUGCCGAAAACAAUAGAGAAAACAUCAACCCACUCACACACAGAUCAGAGACAAAGGCGUUUGGAACCCUGAAAAUUUAAAUAGUUACCUGAAAAUUUAAACAGAUCAGAGACAAAGUCGCAGCUGGUGAUGCUUUGUGGACGGCGGCUUGUGGCUGGCGCAGAUGGUUUACGGCGGGUGAUCUGGGUAUAUGCCUGGUUUACGGUGGCUUGUGAAGGUUUAGGGUAGAUGAG
rnacentral:lncRNA from 1 species